GUCACUGCCUCCAUCAGUUCCUCCCCUGUGGCUGCGAUCCAAAUGCCACAACCAUGGCAGCUUACAGAAGAGAGAGUUUCUUCUGACCUUCGGUUCCAGAAGGCUAGCAGCAGUUGAGCAUGGGAGGAAAUGAUACGGACUGACACAAAGAAAGAUGGCUGCGGGAAGACGCAGACACACCGGUGUACCUGUAAUGCUGGAGUUGAGGUCUGAGUGACGAAUCUGAGAUCACCAGAAGCCGGAAGCAGCAGGGAUGGUGCCUGACAGGCUUGGGAAGGACAUCGCCAGGUGUGGCGGCUUAAAUAGAUCAAGACAUAGAACUCUCCUCCGGCACCAUGUUUGUCUGCACACCGCCAUGAAGAGCAGGGACUGAACCUCUGAGCUUGACAAUUGAACAAAGAAGAGGCAGAAUGGAGUGGCGAGGACUGAAAGGAAUAGAACUAGACACUUGGUGCCAACAGGUACGGGAGCACGGCUGCCUGCCGAGACAAAGGUGCUUGUUGUUGCUGAGUAGACCUGGUCCUUACUGCUGCCCCCCUGUAGGCCCUGACCAAGAGCAGGGGACUGCGGCACUGCCCCAAGGCUGCAAAUACAAUGGUCAUGCUGGUCGAGCCAGCCGGGUGGCUGGUACCCAGGGAGGCGUGGUGUCCUGCACUCUGGAGUUUGCUCAGGUUCUGCCCCCUGACAUGCUGCCCAACCAUAGGAUUACCUUGACUCGAUAUCCAAGAUAAAGAAUAGUUCAUUUUCUGGAUUAAGGCCCUCCAAAGACUUCUGUGGUUUGAGAUGCUGCUGGAAGCCAUGUUGGUGUCUGUGGUUCCUGCUGCCACGAGGAACCACAUUCAUGUCCAUGAUCCAUGCUGCUAUCAGCUGCUAUGGACAAGGAAGCUUCUUUGGCAGUGGUAUUGACGACUGCAGACUCAUAACUGAGAAUGAGAGACAUUAAAGGCGACAACCUCUCCCACCCCGCAUCUCCUGAAAAUAAAUAGUCCAGAUAUGAAGUCCUACAAUUGUGAUGAAGAUACUGAAGGAUAGCUCUUCACGGUUGAUGGCUUCUCACCAGUGCAUGUGUG